ensembl:lincRNA
GUGUUUCAUUGUGGGGUUAAGAAGAGAGAAAAUAUGUUUGGUUUAAGUUGUGACUUGUUAUUGUGAAAAAGACUUCACAGUACAGGACAUGAUGUGCUGAGGAAGAAGAGGUCGGGAAACAUUCUGCAGGGCAGGAUCCAGGAGAAGAAUUUGUAAAAACUGCUUUGGUGAGGUAAACACCAAAGCACAUAGGAGGCAUUAUUAUACUAAACAGGUAUUAUACUAAGAUAUUAACAGUUUUUGAAGUAAUGCACAUUCUUAUUUUAUAGAGAUGGAAAUAGAACUCUCGAAAUAUUUAACGAAGAUAUAUUCCCACUUUAUCGAGACAAGAUUCCGGGAGUACGCUUUAUGUUUGAUCCUGCACACAAAGUAAUCUACAGAUUUAUGCUUACUUUGUUUCGUGUCAAAAGACUAGAGGCUGACUUAGCAAUCAUAAGUUUGGUUUACAUAAAAAGACUUCUAGAGUAUGCUGAUAUCAACAUUUGUCCAACCAACUGGAGGAGGAUUGUCUUGGGAGCCAUUCUUCUUGCCAUCGACAUUUGGAUCGAUGUGACUGUGGACAAUAAGGACUUAUGCGGGCUCUUUGAGAAAAUGACAGUGGACAAUAUGAAUGAGUUGCGAAGGUACUUCUUGGAGCUAAUUAAUGCUAAUAACUAUGUUCCUCUAAGUGUUUAUACCAGAUACUACUUCUAUCUUCGUGCCUUGGCAUUCAGGCAUGGCCUGAGUUUGCCAUAUCACCUUCUUGAUAGAGAAAGAGCAUGGGAUCUGGAGGCUUUCUCAAGGAUGGAACAAGAGGAAGUGUUCUAUACUGCUCGAAAGAUGGGGUCUUUGAGUGUUGAUGACUUAACUCGUCUUCAGCACACUAAGGCCGUCCUCUCCUGAAGGAAGAAAUGAGGGGUAAUGUAACAUCUGAGCCCCUCACCAAAAAAGACAGGAACAUACCACCUCUCCUGCUACAUAACUACACAAGUUUGUAUUUUCGAAAGAAGAAAUACCUCAAUUCAAGUUAACUCAAGGACAACUAAGAUUGCACUUUAUAGUAAAGAAUGGGACCUUGUCAGGGCAACAACACAGUCUUACACUCUUCUGUCCCUUUGAAUGUAAACAGAGUCAUAGAAACCACUCCAAAGUGAAGCCUCCUUCUGCUCACUCACAGAUGCUUUAGUGUGUCGGCUGAUAGCUGUGAACUGUGUCAGCCUUUUUCUGUUUUGUUUUCAGAUGAGUCUCUGUUACCAGGCUAGGGGGCAGUGUUUUUUAUGGAGGAGCGAACAACAUGAGAAGGAAGGUGGGAGGAAGAGUGGAGAAUGGCAAAAUCAGAUUCAGACUUAGGGGAUGUUUCACCCAGAAGUCAGCCUGUUCUUAGGAGGGGCAUAAACGGGGUUUGUAUGUUGGCUCAGACUGAAGGCAGAGCAGAGUCCGGGAGCUGGGGAAGGAGAGAAACUUAAGCACAGUUGUGAUGGAAUUCCUGGAACCCAGGAGGCAAAGGUUGCGGUGAGCCGAGAUUGCACCAGUGCACUCUCUAUCUUAUAAAAAUAACUUGAAGCAGAUCUGACAUUCUUGAAUAAUUUCUAACUUUAUUUUUGGCCUGAUUCUCUAUAAUUGUGAGAGAAU